rnacentral:rRNA from 1 species
CCUACGGGCGGCAGCAGUGGGGAAUUUUGGACAAUGGGCGCAAGCCUGAUCCAGCCAUGCCGCGUGUCUGAAGAAGGCCUUCGGGUUGUAAAGGACUUUUGUUAGGGAAGAAAAGGAUAGUGUUAAUACCAUUAUCUGCUGACGGUACCUAAAGAAUAAGCACCGGCUAACUACGUGCCAGCAGCCGCGGUAAUACGUAGGGUGCGAGCGUUAAUCGGAAUUACUGGGCGUAAAGCGAGCGCAGACGGUUUAUUAAGCAAGAUGUGAAAUCCCCGAGCUUAACUUGGGAACUGCGUUUUGAACUGGUAAGCUAGAGUAUGUCAGAGGGGGGUAGAAUUCCACGUGUAGCAGUGAAAUGCGUAGAGAUGUGGAGGAAUACCGAUGGCGAAGGCAGCCCCCUGGGAUAAUACUGACGUUCAUGCUCGAAAGCGUGGGUAGCAAACAGGAUUAGAUACCCUGGUAGUC